AUUGAACGCUGGCGGCAUGCUUUACACAUGCAAGUCGAACGGCAGCGCGGACUUCGGUCUGGCGGCGAGUGGCGAACGGUUGAGUAAUAUAUCGGAACGUACCCAAGAGUGGGGGAUAACGUAGCGAAAGUUACGCUAAUACCGCAUACGAUCUAAGGAUGAAAGCAGGGGAUCGCAAGACCUUGUGCUCCUGGAGCGGCCGAUAUCUGAUUAGCUAGUUGGUGAGGUAAAGGCUCACCAAGGCAACGAUCAGUAGCUGGUCUGAGAGGACGCCCAGCCAAACUGGAACUGAGACACGGUCCAGACUCCUACGGGAGGCAGCAGUGGGGAAUUUUGGACAAUGGGGGCAACCCUGAUCCAGCAAUGCCGCGUGAGUGAAGAAGGCCUUCGGGUUGUAAAUCUCUUUUGUCAGGGAAGAAAAGGCUGUGGCUAAUAUCCACAGCUGCUGACGGUACCUGAAGAAUAAGCACCGGCUAACUACGUGCCAGCAGCCGCCGUAAUAC
rnacentral:rRNA from 1 species